ensembl:lncRNA
AUGCUAAGCAGCACAGUCUGUUGUUUUGUUGUCCAUGUUGCUAAGCGACCAUCAGCAAGUCAAAGGCUGAGAGAAAAGACAAAUCCCAAAAGAAAACGAGACGUGGUGGAGGGCAGGAAAUUGCAAGUUUUUAAGAGCCAGUCAAUGUGGGACACGAGGUCUCUCGAGAAGAUGGUGAAUAGGACGACUCUAAGCACACAGAGAGUGCUCCAUGCACACAUUCUGGAACUAGGAGAACAGUUAUGUCCAUGGUCAUCUCCCAGUGCUCCAAAUCUGGUCAAUCCACAGCCUGUGACUGAACAAGAGCAGCCUGACGUCCCCACCAUGGAGGAAUUUAAGCAGCUGGCAGAGAAGGAGAAACACGCUGCCCUUAAACUCCAAGAGGAGAGUCUGCAGGCCCGGUUUCAAGAGGCCCUGCAAGCAAGGGACAGGCUGGAGGCUGAAAUGAGGCGAGAGCUCCAGGUCGAGCUGCAGGCCCAGUUCAGAGCUCGAUUUCAAGGCCUGAGGGCUCAGAUGGAGGAAGACAAGGUCCAGGCCGUAGGGGAGGCCUGCAGGAAGCUGCAAGAACAGCUGCACAAAGAAGCAGAGGAGACCAGAGAGAAAAUAAUACACACUGUACGAGAAGAGACACAGGAGUGUGUGAGGAGGUGUGUGCAGGAUGCUGAGAGAAGCUUUCGUGAGGAGUGUGACAUGAAGGCAGAAAGACAGAAACAGGCCCUACAGGAAAGACAUGAAGAGAAGAUAUCUAAGCUACAAAACAGGAUACAGCAGCUGCAGGACAGUCUGGAGCAGGCCUGCAGGGAGCGCAUUCAGUAUGAAGCAGAGUUUAAGAAGGUGCAGGCCAGCUACAGGCGGUUUGUGGACCUGACUGAUUCCUCCCUCCACUCUGAUUACCUCUUAAAACUGCGCAGACUGGGGAGAGAGCCAGGUCUCACGGACACUGCGACACAGACUGAUGAGAUCACCUCCUAGCUUGUGAUGGCAGUGUGCACACUGUCUGGGUAUUUGACAUGUCAUAGCAGUCACAGCAGUGUCCUGCACGACACGCUGUACUUUGUCUAAAACCAUUUGAAACAUGUAUUAAUGUUAAAAGAUUGUGGUAUCUAAAAUAUACUUUCACUAAUACAUUUAUCUUUACAAAGUAUUUUUUAGUAAUGAAACAUGUCAACUCUUUCAUAAUAAAUAGAAUAUGUAUUGUGUUGCA